UUCGCAAUGCCCGAAAGGGUGACGAAGCGACGCCGCGUGGGUGAGGAAGGCCUUCGGGUUGUAAAGCCCUGUCAGGAGUUAAGAAAUGUAGACUCGCUAAUAUCGGGUCUAUUUGACAAAGGCUCCAAAGGAAGCCACGGCUAACUCUGUGCCAGCAGCCGCGGUAAUACAGAGGUGGCAAGCGUUGUUCGGAAUUAUUGGGCGUAAAGAGCACGUAGGUGGAUUUGUAAGUCAGACGUGAAAGCCUUCUGUUCAACGGAAGAAUUGCAUCUGAAACUACAAACCUUGAGUGUAGGAGGGGAGAAUGGAACUUCUGGUGGAGCGGUGAAAUGCGUAGAUAUCAGAAGGAACGCCGGCGGCGAAAGCGAUUCUCUGGCCUAUUACUGACACUCAGUGUGCGAAAGCUAGGGGAGCAAACGGGAUUAGAUACCCCGGUAGUCCUAACCGUAAACGAUGGGCACUAAGUAGAGGGGUUUU
rnacentral:rRNA from 1 species